rnacentral:rRNA from 1 species
UCUUCCCUCUGGCGGCGUGCCUAAUACAUGCAAGUCGAGCGAACGGACGAGAAGCUUGCUUCUCUGAUGUUAGCGGCGGACGGGUGAGUAACACGUGGAUAACCUACCUAUAAGACUGGGAUAACUUCGGGAAACCGGAGCUAAUACCGGAUAAUAUUUUGAACUGCAUGGUUCAAAAGUGAAAGACGGUAUUGCUGUCACUUAUAGAUGGAUCCGCGCUGCAUUAGCUAGUUGGUAAGGUAACGGCUUACCAAGGCAACGAUGCAUAGCCGACCUGAGAGGGUGAUCGGCCACACUGGAACUGAGACACGGUCCAGACUCCUACGGGAGGCAGCAGUAGGGAAUCUUCCGCAAUGGGCGAAAGCCUGAUGGAGCAACGCCGCGUGAGUGAUGAAGGUCUUCGGAUCGUAAAACUCUGUUAUUAGGGAAGAACAUAAGUGUAAGUAACUGUGCACAUCUUGACGGUACCUAAUCAGAAAGCCACGGCUAACUACGUG